CUUGGAAAAUAUAGGGAAAAAUAUUGUACCUUCAAUGAUGAUAUUCAAGGAACAGCUGCAGUAGCUCUAGCAGGUCUUCUUGCAGCCCAAAAAGUUAUUAAUAAACCGAUCUCAGACCACAAAAUCUUAUUUCUUGGAGCAGGCGAGGCUGCCC